UGACCGCACAACGAAGUUAACGUACUCUUGCGUCACGACGCUGGAGAGAAAGACGUCAGAGCGAAGUUGGGGAUUUUGGCGCGGGGGGGGGGGGGGGGGCCCCGAGGGUUGUGGUGUUCCCUUUUCGUGAAACUUUAUUGGGAAACAUGAUAUUUCCUACUUCUUUGGAUCCAGGCAGGCAGAAUCAGAUCGUAUUGCCCACAAAUAGGGCAAACACCGCCCCGCCGCUCCGCUCCCCCCCCCGAGUUUAGCAGUGUUUAUCCGAGGACUUGCCUCCUCAGAUGAUGGCUGGUUAUACUAGGCUGGAAGCAGGACUGUUGUUCUGGGAGGUGCUGCCACUCCCAGGGAUCCUGUGUCUGUGGAUGCCAGUUGGCCACCUGUUGCUGGUGGUGAUAAGGAAGCAGGUUGCCUUGCUGCUUCAGCUAGCUUAACAGCUAAGUAUACUAAAGACCAAGAUGGGUGGAGAACAUGUCCUGGCCUUUUGUCCUGGCUCAAAUUCAUUUGCAUCUUAGCCAGAGAUGUUAGUGGAAUAUGCAAGAGUGAUAAAAGGGGCUAACAGUAAGUAUUUAUCUGAAAUAGAAAAGGACAUAUCUAACCUUGGUACUUUUAGACCAAAGAGCUGUCUGUCUUGUGUUACUACUAUACCCCAAGAGAAUAAAGGCCCAGAAAUGCAAAAAUCAUUCCAGCAGACACAAUACCCAGUGAGAAGCAGAAGCUGGGGAAAGUGGUGUAGAGAUGCUACUGUGUCCACUGAGCAGGCACAGACAAGAUACCACUGUGCCCUGCAAGAAGCAAGCUUAACAAAGGACACCAGCAAUUCUGGCAUGGAGCAGGUCCAUCAAGGUCAGUGGAGCUACCAUUUCAGUGGAGAUGUCAUGCUCAAUGAGGAGCAGGCCUACUGUGGACAGUGCAAUAACCGUCCCUAACUUAACAUCGUCCCCGCAGUGAGUUGACACUCCACACAUACUCCUCACCUGUGGAUUUAUCUCUCCAAUGUGACUCCUAUGCAGGGUUGUGUGGGAGCCUGCUCUUAUCAGUUUAUCAAAUAUUUAGUGUGAGCGUUUACACCUCAGAAAUCAAACACUACAAAUCAAGAUUUGAUUUAUUGUUUUAUUGAUUGUUUGGAUUUAAGCAAGUG